GAUACGACCGUACCGCAAACCGACACUGGUGCGCGAGAUGAGUAUUCUAAGGCGCUUGAGAGAACUCAGGAGAAGGAACUCGGCAAAUUGACACCGUAACUUCGGAAGAAGGUGUGCCCUAUUAGUGUGUAGUGAACAACGAAGCAUGAAUGGGUUGCAAAAAAUCGGUGGCUGCGACUGUUUAUUAAAAACACAGCACUCUGCAAACACGAAAGUGGACGUAUAGGGUGUGACGCCUGCCCGGUGCUGGAAGAUUAAAUGAUGGGGUGCAAGCUCUUGAUUGAAGUCCCAGUAAACGGCGGCCGUAACAAUAACGGUCCUAAGGUAGCGAAAUUCCUUGUCGGGUAAGUUCCGACCUGCACGAAUGGCGUAACGAUGGCCACACUGUCUCCUCCUGAGACUCAGCGAAGUUGAAAUGUUUGUGAUGAUGCAAUCUCCCCGCGGAAAGACGGAAAGACCCCAUGAACCUUUACUGUAGCUUUGUAUUGGACUUUGAACAGAUCUGUGUAGGAUAGGUGGGAGGCUUUGAAGCAGGGUCGCUAGAUCUUGUGGAGCCAACGUUGAAAUACCACCCUGGUGUGUUUGAGGUUCUAACCUAGGUCCAUUAUCUGGAUCGGGGACAGUGCAUGGUAGGCAGUUUGACUGGGGCGGUCUCCUCCCAAAGCGUAACGGAGGAGUUCGAAGGUACGCUAGUUACGGUCGGACAUCGUGACGAUAGUGCAAUGGCAUAAGCGUGCUUAACUGCGAGACUGACAAGUCGAGCAGAUGCGAAAGCAGGACAUAGUGAUCCGGUGGUUCUGUAUGGAAGGGCCAUCGCUCAACGGAUAAAAGGUACUCUGGGGAUAACAGGCUGAUACCGCCCAAGAGUUCAUAUCGACGGCGGUGUUUGGCACCUCGAUGUCGGCUCAUCUCAUCCUGGGGCUGUAGCCGGUCCCAAGGGUAUGGCUGUUCGCCAUUUAAAGAGGUACGUGAGCUGGGUUUAAAACGUCGUGAGACAGUUUGGUCCCUAUCUUCCGUGGGCGCUGCAGAUUUGAGGAAGCCUGCUCCUAGUACGAGAGGACCGGAGUGGACACACCUCUGGUGUAUCGGUUGUCACGCCAGUGGCAUUGCCGAGUAGCUAAGUGUGGAAGAGAUAACCGCUGAAAGCAUCUAAGCGGGAAACUCGUUUCAAGAUGAGAUCUGCCGGGGCCUUGAGCCCCCUAAAGAGUCGUUCAAGACCAGGACGUUGAUAGGUCAGGUGUGGAAGCGU
rnacentral:rRNA from 1 species